UGAGAUCAUCAUCUCAUCUUUCGAAAAAGAAUACAAAAGAUUUUUUUCUUGCAAGGGGGUUGGAAUAUAUUGAGAUAUAAAAUAAAAGGAGGAAAAUCUUCUUUAGCCCUUUUCUUUUGCUAGGAAUAAAAAAUAAACGAAAAAAGAUCAUCUUUGUAGCCAUUGGUACAGCAUUUGUUCUCUUUUAUAUGGAGAGCCUCACUCCAAACCCACCUUGCCAAACUUUGUUCAUGAGAUAGAGAGAGAGAGAGAGGUGGGUUGCAAUUUCCAACUGCAACUGAAGGAGGCAUCCAAAGGGAUCGCAUUGAUCCCAUCUCUUCACUAACGAAACAUACUCCCACAUAUUUGGAUUUUGGAUCAUGCUAUCCCUUUGGAUACCUCCUUUAGUGGCUUCAAAUCUGAUGAUGUUCUUGUCGAGAAUUGAUCCGGCGACUCAUGCAUCGCCUGGAGAAGCUCACCGGAGAAAAGCCCGGGCAAGAGGGAGUGAGGCCGUGCAAUGUGAAAAACGUGGAAUUCAAGUCAUGGAUCAUCAAGGAAUUUUUAUAUCCAAGAACUUUUCCUCAGCAAUUUGAAACUGAAGGGUACCUUAAUAGUUUCGUUUAUCCAUAAUUGCACAGUAAGUUAGAAUUGGUGAAGUGUUCGGAUCUUAUGUUGACGUCUCACUUACCUGGCAUUUACUUAUUUAUUUGUGUGAGAAUUGGUGAAUGAAUCAGUACACAUGUUGCUUGCUCAAAACUCCCGUAAAAUGUUUUGCUGAUUUCAAUCUAUACUGAUUCGUGAACAAAAAUGGAGUCUAUAGACUGGGGAAAUGGAGUAGCUUCUGAUGGCAACAAUGGUAAUAAUCUCUAUCUAUGUUUUGCUCUGUAAAUACCAGCCAAUUCAGAAUAAUCUCAUUUACAGAUGCUUCCGACAA